AAAAAUGUUAAAAACCACCAGAACAGAGUCAUGAAAAUAGUCACAUGUGCAACAUAAACAGAGGUCAAUGUCUAUAUGACAUUUUUUGGGCGUGAUAAAAAUAAGAAAAUAAGCAGUUAGUUCAGUACGGGCUCUGCGAAGGGACCACGUCUGUCAAUUUUUUUUUUCCUAGUUUUUACUAAAUUGGAAGUGCUUCAAACUGGUUUUUUUGCCUUCGUUUGGCUCAACAGCAAAAAAACAAAUAUGAGGAAGGCUGAACUUGAUGGACACGUGUCUCUUUUCAGCCUAUGUAACUGUGUAAUUAG